CACGGACACUCCACUCGCAUUUUCAUUUUCUAUGUUCAAUGGACCGUAAAACUUUAUUCAGGCGUUACUGUUUGACAGAUCAUAUCAUACAUUUUUAUUAUAUGGAUCAGGUGUACUAAGUUUUCAGUUGACUGGACUUUCACUUCAUCUCAAACAACCUUUACCAAAAACUUUAACCAAAUACAACAGAUGAACGUAGAGACAAACGGACGGAC
rnacentral:lncRNA from 1 species